AUUUAAGUAGUUUAUAUAAAAUUUUGAUUUGUGGUAUCAAAGAAAUAAAAUUUAUUAUCUUAAAUU
rnacentral:tRNA from 1 species